GAGUUAUAAAGGGGUCCAUAUGGUCACUGUACACCCUCCUGUUUGAGAACUUAUAUGUAUGGGACAAGAUAACACAUUAAAUGAAAUAUAAGGGUAGUCCCUAGGGUCACCCACCCCCUCUUGUGUGUGUUUUGAGAACUUGUAUAAGAUUGAAAAUACCAAUCCUAAACUAAACCAUAUUCAUUCGUGUUUGUCAUUUCAAAAAGAUUGAAUGACAUACAAUGUCAAUCUCAUGGACGUCACAUAUGCAUGUCACUUUGCUAGACCUAAC
rnacentral:lncRNA from 1 species